CCAGUGCCCGCCUGCGCCGCCAGGGUCUCCAGCACCGCACCGUCCAGCCCGCCGGAUCCCGCCGUCUGUCAUGGCGGCCCCCAUCCUGAAAGAUGUAGUGGCCUAUGUUGAAGUGUGGUCAUCCAAUGGAACGGAAAAUUAUUCAAAGACAUUUACAACACAGCUUGUGGAUAUGGGAGCAAAGGUUUCAAAAACUUUUAACAAACAAGUAACUCACGUUAUCUUCAAAGAUGGCUACCAGAGCACUUGGGACAAAGCUCGAAAGAGAGGCGUAAAGCUCGUUUCAGUCCUCUGGGUUGAAAAAUGCAGGACAGCUGGAGCACACAUUGAUGAAUCGUUGUUCCCUGCAGCUAAUACGAAUGAACACUUACCAAGCCUAAUUAAAAAAAAACGUAAAUGUAUGCAGCCCAAAGAUUUUAAUUUUAAAACACCAGAAAAUGAUAAGAGAUUUCAGAAGAAAUUUGAGAAAAUGGCUAAAGAGCUACAAAGGCAAAAAACAAGUCUAGAUGAUGAUGUACCUAUUCUCUUAUUUGAAUCCAAUGGUUCAUUAACAUAUAGUCCUACAAUUAAAAUUAAUAGUAGUCACCACAGCGCAAUGGAGAAGAGAUUACAAGAGAUGAAGGAGAAAAGGGAAAAUCUUUCCCCCACCUCUUCCCAAAUGAUUCAACAGUCUCAUGAUAAUCCAAGUAACUCUCUGUGUGAAGCACCUUUGAACAUUUCACAUGAUACUUUGUGUUCAGAUGAAUCCAUUGCUGGUGGCUUACACUCGUCUUUUGAUGAUCUUUGUGGAAACUCAGAAUGUGGAAAUCAGGAAAGGAAGUUGGGAGGAUCCAUUAAUGACACUAAAAGUGAUAUGUGUAUUUCUUCACUUGUAUUGAAAACAAAUAAUACUCAUUUAUCACCAUCUUUCGCUCACCUUGAUAAAUCAAGUCCUCAGAAAUUUCUGAGUAAUCUUUCAAAGGAAGAAAUAAACUUGCAAAGAAACAUUGUGGGUAAAAUAGUCACCCCUGACCAAAAGCAGGCUGCAGGUAUGUCUCAGGAGACGUUUGAAGAGAAGUAUCGUUUGUCUCCUACAUUGUCUUCAACAAAAGGCCCCCUUUUGAUACAUUCAAGACCCAGGAGUUCCUCAGUAAAGAGAAAAAGAGUAUCAUAUGGCUUCCAUUCACCUCCAAAGGAAAAAUGCAAGAGAAAGAGGAGCAUCAGGAGAUCUAUCAUGCCGAGGCUGCAGCUGUGUAGGUCAGAAGGCAGCCUGCAGUGCAUGGCGGGACCUGCACUCGAGGCUCUUGGCUGUGGGGAGUCUUCGUAUGAUGACUAUUUUUCACCUGAUAAUCUUAAGGAAAGGAAUUCAGAGAAUCUUCCUCCCGAAUCUCAGCUGCCAUCAAACCCUGCUCAGUUCAGCUGCAGAAGUCUUUCUAAGAAGGAGAGAACAAGCAUAUUUGAAAUGUCUGAUUUUUCCUGCGUUGGUAAAAAACCCAGAACAGUUGACAUUACCAGUUUCACAGCAAAAACCAUCUGCAGUCCUCAGAAAACUGCAAGUGGAGAAGGCUGUGCAACUUUCAGUUGCGUGACUUCUGAGGAAUCCUCUGCCCCUGAAGAAACCUUAAGGUAUUGUAGACAGGCUGGGCCUCAGCAGAAAGAAGACGCAUGGCCAGAGGGCAAUGGCUUUUCUUACACCAUUGAGGACCCUGCUCUUCCAAAAGGACAUGAUGGUGAUUUAACUCCUUUCGAAGGAAUCCUUAAAGAAGUGAAAGAAGCGGUUGGUCUGAAAAGCACACAGGACAAAGGUACCACUUCCAAAAUAUCAAACUCCUCUGAAGGCGAAGCCCCGAGUGAACAUGAGCCACGUUCUGUAGUUGACUGUAACGUGGAGAGGUCUGCAGAAGAAAAGGAAAACUUACCUGGAGGAUACAGUGGAAGUGUUAAAAAUAGACCAACAAGGCGUGAUGUUUUAGAUGGCUCAUGUGACAGCUUUAAGGACCUCAUCAAACCUCAUGAGGAACUGAAGAAAAGUGGGAAAGGCAAAAAGCCAACAAGAACAUUAGUCAUGACAAGCAUGCCAUCUGAAAAGCAGAAUGUCGUCAUCCAGGUUGUGGAUAAAUUGAAAGGCUUUUCAAUUGCACGAGACGUCUGUGAGACCACGACUCAUGUGCUUUCCGGGAAGCCACUUCGCACCCUGAAUGUGCUGCUGGGAAUCGCGCGUGGCUGCUGGGUUCUCUCUUAUGAUUGGGUGCUGUGGUCUUUAGAAUCGGGUCAAUGGAUUUCUGAGGAGCCAUUCGAACUGUCUAAUCACUUCCCUGCAGCUCCUCUGUGCCGAAGGGAGUGCCACUUGUCUGCAGGGCCGUACCGCGGAACCCUCUUUGCCGACCAGCCAGUGAUGUUUGUCUCGCCUGCCAGCAGCCCCCCCGUGGCCAAGCUCUGUGAACUAGUCCACCUGUGCGGAGGCCGGGUCAGCCAAGUCCCCCGCCAGGCCAGCAUCGUCAUCGGGCCCUACAGCGGAAAGAAGAAAGCAACAGUCAAGUAUCUGUCGGAGAAAUGGGUCUUAGAUUCCAUCACCCAGCACAAGGUCUGUGCCUCUGAAAACUACCUAUUGCCACAAUGACAGUGACCUCACUGGCCUGUGGUGACUGCACAGCUGGCAAAACCGUCUUUGGAUAUUCAAGUGAGAAACAAUUGUGAAGAGAAGGAACUGGCGUAUACAAGAUGACUUUUGAUAUCAUGUUUGCCACGCGUUGUGGUGCUUAAGAACUCUCAGGUGACUUUCUGAUGACUGAAUUUGUGUUUCAGAGAAGCUUCGGGCCUUUUUUUUUUUUUUUUUUUUUUUUUUGAGAUGGAUUCUUGCUCUGAUUCCCAGGCUGGAGUGCAAUGGCACAAUCUCGGCUUACUGCAACCUCCACCUCCCGGGUUCAAGCGAUUCUCCUGCCUCAGCCUCCCAAGUAGCUGGGACUACAGGCAUGGGCCACCAUGCCCUGCUAAUUUUUGUAUUUUUAGUAGAGACGGGGUUUCACCAUGUUGGCGAGGCUGGUCUCAAAUGCCUGACCUCAGGUAAUCUGUCAGACCUCUUCUAUAGAAUUCCAGUCUUUGUAUCUUAGUAACGAUCAUAAUUGAAAGGUCACAGAACCUUUGUCAUUAGAACACGGUACUGCCAAAUAACGAAUGGAAAUUCAUUGACAUUAUUUUAUUACUGAGAACAACUAGAGAGCUCUGAAAGUUUCUUGGCUUAGAGUCGAAGAUCUUUAUUAAUACAUUACCUGUUAGGUAGGAAAGACAUUUGACAGUAAGGUGACUUUAGCGGAGAUUCCUCUCUUAAAGUAAUGAAAGGAGAUAGGUAUGGGGGGUGUUAUACAGGAUGAUUGGUGCCAUCUGAGUGUCUUACUUCUGAAAGCCUGCUUUAUGGUGAACAAAGCAUCACCAACAAGGGAUCACAACGUCCAUUGGCCACAUCUUGCCUGCUGUCCUCGAGAGGAAAUUGGCAGCUGGGGCUGAUUCACAGAAACACCGAUUUGUGGCUGAGCACGGCGGCUCACACCUGUAAUCCCCGCCUUUUAGGAGGCCGAGGUGGACAGAUAAUUGAGGUCAGGAGUUCGAGACCAGCCUGGCCAACGUGGCAAAACCCUAUCUCUACUAAAAAUACAAAAAUCAGCUGGGUGUGGUGGCGCACACCUGUGGUCCCAGCUCCUCAGGAGGCCGAGGCAGGAGAAUCGCUUGAACCCAGAAGGCGGAGGUUGUGGUAAGCUGAGGUUGCAGUGAAUCAAGAUUGCUCCACUGCACUCCAGCCUGGACGACAGAGCAACUCUCCAUCUCAGAUAAAUAAAUGAAUAAGAAACACCGAUGUGUCUGUCACCUUCUAAACAAAUGAAAUGCUAGGAAGUCCUAACCAGAGUGAUCAGGCAAGAAUAAGCCAUAAAAGGCAUCCAAAUAGGAAAAGAAGUCAAACUGUCUCUCUUCACUGCCAAUAUGAUUCUAUACCUAGAAAACCCUAAAGACUGCCAAAAGGCUCCUGGAACCAAUAAACGACUUCAGUAAAGUUUCAGGAUAGAAAAUCCAUGUACAAAAACCAGCAUUUCCAUACACAAUAACAUUCAAGCUGAGCACCAAAUCAAGAACGCAAUCCCAUUUCCAAUAGCCAUGGAAUGAAAUACCUAGGAGCACAUGUAACCAAGGACACAAAGGAUCUCUACAAGGAGAACCAUAAACGAGAUGCUGAGUCCCAGCGAGGUCGGAGGUGCCACUGAGCCCUCAUUGUGGUGCUGGUCCCACUCCAGGUUAUCUAUCUGUUGCUCAUCUCAGCUGUUGUCCCUACCUCCAAUUUCAAGUCCCUCAACAGAUACAACAGAUCAACUUCUAGAAUGAACCUUUGAGAAGGGACGUAGCAGUGCGUUCUAUGGAAAUUGGCAUUCUAUAGAAAACCAUAGAAACUGGAAAUCAUGAAGGGUUUUCUCUUGGUUUUAAAAUAUUGUAUACACCCAAAUCAUCCCCUCAUGAUACUCAUCCUCUAACAGCAAUUGAACUUCAAUACAAUGCGUCAUUCCUGAGUCCACUCGCUUCACAUUACAUUUCUCUAUAACCACAAGCAUCCUGGCUUGGGAGCGCUCCCACAGCACCAGAAAUCCCUGAGGAGGCUGACAAACAUUCUGCUGACUCAUGCUGGGGACAAGCCACAGACAACUUCCAUCACCCACCACAUCAGCCAUGGAGCCAGCCCAGCCUCUGCCCACCCAGGCCUCAGUCCUCAAUGUUAAGUUCUGAUCCCUGAUGCUGGCCUACCAGCGGCCAGUCAAGAUUCUCUUUCUGAAAGCUAAUAUUUUAUGAGGACUAACUGUUGCUAGACAUUACUCUAAGCAUAUUACAUGUUGUACUUCAUUUUACCCUUCCAACAAUCCUAUUAGUAGCUUACUGUGGGUCUGCAAAGCCUUACUCAAAACAUAUAGGACUAGAGGUUCUCAGGAUUCUGAAUUCUUUUUAAUUUUUUUAAAGGCUUAUGGCUCUCACCACUUUUAUUCAACGUUGUAUUAAAGAUUCUACCCAGAGAAGGCAAUAAAAGGAAAUUAAAGCUAUACAGAUUGGACGUGAAGAAAUAAAAGACUUUAUUCUCAAGAAUAUAAGACACUAUAUAUAGAAAUUGUAAGGAAUGAAAAAAACCCUACAAGAACUUAUAACAAGUUUAGCAAGAUUGCAAUAUACAAAGUUAAUAUACAAAACUAACAGAAUUGUAUUUAUAUAUAGUCAAUAAGCAAUUCAAAAUGAAAUUAAGACCAUGAUUCCAUUUAAAAUUGCAUCUAAAAAUAAACAAAAUAGGAAUAGACUUGGCAACAGAAGUGUAACAUCUGUAUACUGAAACCCGUAAAACACUGCUGAAAGAAGUUAAAUAUUUAAAUAGUGAAAUAUACAAAGUUCAUGGAUUAGACGACGCAAUAUUGUUAAGAUGGUAGUUCUCAAAUUGAUGUAUAGAUUCAAUGCAAUCCAUUAAAAUCUCAGGUGGCUUUUUUGUAGAAUUUGAAAAGCUGAUGCUAAAUUUUUUAUGAAAAUGCAAAGAACCUCUAGUAGACAAAAUAAUUUUUUUUAAGAGCAAAGUUGCAGGAUUUAUAGAACCUGAUUCCAAAACUGUCUAUAAAACUACAAUAAUCACAAAGUAUCAGCCAGGCACCGUGGCUCACACCUGUAAUCCCAGCUCUUUGGGAGGCUGAGGUGGGUGAAUCACUUGAGGUCAGGAGUUUAAGACCAGCCUGGCCAACUUGGUGAAACCUCAUCUCUACUAGAAAUACAAAAAACUAGCCAGGCAUGGUGGCAUGCACCUGUAAACUCCAUUACUCAGGAGGCUGAAGCAGGAGAAUAGCUUGAACCUAGGAGAGUCCAUCUCAAAAACAACAACAACAACAACAAAAGUAUUAUAUUGGCAAAAGAACAGACAUGUAAAUCAAAUAACAGAAUAGAGAAUUCAGGUGUAAAUCUUCAUAUUUAUGGCCCAUUGACUUUGAACAAAGCUGCCGAGGCAAUUCAGUAUAGUAGCAUAUUCUUUUCAACAAAUGGUGCUGGCAGAAGGGAAAACAAAAGCACGAGGAUCCUUACCUCACACCAUGCACAAACAUUAGCUAAACAUGGACUAAGUCAGGGUUUCUCAACCUCAACACUGUUGGCGUUUGUGGGGGUGGAUAAUUCUUUGCUGUGGAGAGCUGUCCUGUGCACUGUAGGAUGUUUAGCUGUAUCCUGGCCUCUGCCUAUUAGAUGCCAGUGGCACCCCUCCCCCGACACAUACCCGGUUGUGACAAUCUACGUCUCUAGAUAUUCCUAAAUGUGCCCCGGAGAGCAAAACUGUUUCCAGUCGAGAAUCAUUGACCUAAUGUAAAAAAUAAAAUGUACAGAAGAAAGCACAGCAGGAAAUCAUUCUGACCUUAGGUUAGGCAAAGAUUUCUUAGAUAUCACACUAAAGGCACAAUUCAUUAAAAAAAUAAGUUGGACUUCGUCAAAAUUUUAAGUUUUGCUCUUCUGAAGAAACCAUAAAAAACAAUGAAAAGACAAGCCACAGACUAUGAAAAAAUACUUGCAAACCAUAUAUCUAAUAAAGGACUUGUACCCACACCAUGUAAAGAAUUCAUAACUCAUUAAUAAAAGGAUAAAGAGAAAGCUGAAGACAAUUCACGCAAGAAGAUAUACAAAUAAGCACAUUAAAAUGGCCAAUAUUAUUAGUCACUAGGGAAAUACAAAUUAAAGGCACAAUGAAAUACCUAUUACACACCCACUAGAAUGACUGCAAACAAUAAGACUGAUAAUUCCAAAAUCUGACCAGGAUAUGGAGAAACUACGAUAUGUAGUUUCCUACAUUGCUGGCAUGACUGCAAAAUGAUACAGCCACUUUGAAACACCAUUUGGCAGUUGCUUAAAAAAGUGAACAUUCAAUUACCAUAUGACCCAGCAAUUUCACUCUUAGGUAUGUAACCAAAAUACAUGAAAACAUGGAUCUGCACAAGGUCUUAUAUACAAACGUUCAUAGCAACAUUAUUCAUAAUAACCAGAAAUUAGCCCAUCACCUGAAAAGUAGACAAACAAAAUGUAUACCCACAUCAUGGAAUGCUACUCAGCACACUUCUAAAAAGCAACAGACUACUAACACGUGCAACAACAUGAAUGAACCUCAGAAACACAAGUGAAAGAAGUCAGACACAAAAGACUACAGAUUGUAUGAUUCCAUUUAGAUACCAUUUCUACAAACCGUAAAACUGUAGAGGCACGAAACAGAUUCAUGGUCUCCUGCAGCUGGGGAUGGGAGUGGGAAGAGGGAGCAAACAUUCUGGGAUGAUGGAAACAUUCUAAAACUGGAUUGUGAUUUUGGUUACACAACUGUAUACAUUUGCUAAAAUCACUGAACAGUACACUUUUAAUGGGUAAGCUUUAAGGCAUGUGAAUUAUACAUCAAUAAAGCUAUUUUUUAAAAAAAAGAGAGAGAGCGAGAGCUACAUGGCAGCCCCAGGGCAGUAGCUCUCAGAUCUCCCUUAGAGAAAGAACUAUCUCUUCCACAGCGAUGAGUGCAGGUAGCUAACACUCUCCAACCUGCAUCUGGUAGUUCAUUUAAGAUCAACCUCAGCUUUCAAGUUAACGCCAUGCUCUUUCUUGGCAGUCCCCAGCUAAGAAGUGGGCACAGAAAGGCAGAGGGGCCUGGCUGAUUCAGCCCAACAUGAGGCUCCUCACCCUAGAACUCCCUGUGGAGUUAGCCGAGCCCACAUGUGACCUGUAAUGUGGUCUAAGCUGUCAGACCUCCACAGUGGCGGGAAGGUUUUCCAUAUCUCAGCCUGCUUCUACUCCCUUUUAUUUUUCCCAGGAGUCACCCUUGGUCAUCUCUUACUCUUUGAACUCCAUGUCAGUGUCAGCUACCCAGAGGACCCAUCAGACAGAAAGUAAUACGCAGAUAACAGCCCAGGGGAAUCUGAGCAGCACCCUGAAACCAGCGUUUCCUCAGUGAAACCUAGAACAAAAGUGGAAUAAAUAAAAACUACUAACAGUCUCAUUUCGGCACUGGCAGUCUCACUCUGGAAUCUGUUCAUGCUCCCCAGGCCUAUACGACAAGCUCGUUCAGCCAUAACAGGGCAACUGUGAGGCUGUUGGAUGGGAUGAUGUUGGAAGUAAAUGCUCGGUGCCACCAACUGAAAUUAGCACUCAGGCAAAAGUUUUCUCAGCAAGGCAAUUUACCUUUAUAGAAGUGUGCAUCUCACAGAUGGAACAAUGGCAAGAGCACACUGGACAAGGGAGGGGAAGGGGGCCUUAUUCCUAACACAGCUAGCCCUACUGCUAUAUCUUUCCCCUAUUUACUAGGGUUGGACUGCACAGUCUACGCUAAUUCCGAUUGGCUAUUUUAAAGAGAGCAGGGGUGCGAGCCAGAGUGGCAGGACGGUUACAGAACAGGAGACUAAGGAUGACUAAGGACAGAACAGGUGACUAAGGAUGACUAAGGACAGAACAGGUGACUAAGGAUGACUAAGGACAGAGCAGGUGACUAAGCACAGAAUAGGUAACUAAGGAUGACUAAGGACAGAGCAGGUGACUAAGGACAGAACAGGUGAUUAAGGAUAGAGCAGGUGACUAAGGAUGACUAAGGACAGAGCAGGUGACUAAGGACAGAACAGGUGACUAAGGAUGACUAAGGACAGAACAGGUUACUAAGGAUGACUAAGGACAGAACAGGUGACCAAGGACAGAGCAGGUGACUAACGACCAAACAGGUGACUAAGGGUGACUAAGGACACAACAGGUGACUAUGGAUGACUAAGGACAGAACAGGUGACUAAGGACAGAGCAGAUGACUAAGGUUGACUAAGGAUAGAGUAGGUGACUAAGGACAGAGCAGGUGACUAACAAUGACUAAGGAUAGAACAGGUGACUAAAGGUGACUAAGGACAGAGCAGGUGACUAAGAAUGACUAAGACCAGAGCAGGUGACUAAAGACAAAACAGGUGACUAAGGACAGAGCAGAUGACUAAGGAUGACUAAGGACAGAGCAGGUGACUAUGGAUGACUAAGGACAGAGCAGGUGACUAUGGAUGACUAGGCACAGAACAGGUGACUAAGGACAGAACAGGUGACUAAGGACAGAGCAGGUGAUAGAGGCUAGGAGGGAGUUGUUUACUGAAACUAGGGGCAAACAGACGUAAAGAACGAGAAAGUUAAACUUUAAAGUGGAGAACAAAGAACAGCCGAACAUCCUGACACAUUGGUUCUUUGGAGAGGAACUCAGAGAACUCAUUGUACUUAACAAUUUUCUCCCUCUUAAAUUUUAAAAGACAUGAACAGGCUAAACUUUGAAGAGGAAUUUACUGCAUCCUACAGAUGACAAUUAAUGAUCAAUCUUGCAAUGUUUACUGAGGUCACUAUCCUCAGUGCUAUAUGUGUUCUGUGUCCCAUUGACUUCAGGGUAACUACAUGGUCCUUAAACUUAGAAUCAAAGUAUUUCCAUGAGACCUUCCUUAAUAGACAUUUGUUCUCAGCCUUCUUUCAAUAGCAACAUCCUUUGUUCAAAUGAGGAUGCACAAAGAAAUACAAUAGGUAAAAACAUGGUAUCAGGACUGCUCUCAUUAAGCUGGCGUGGGAGGUGGUCACACGAGGGUUUCAGAUCCUCACCCAAGGAUCUCAUCUUUCUCUGUACAAGGGUAAGCUGCACAGUGCCUUUGUAGAUACUUCUGAGAUUGCCUGAAACCUGCUGGUCUGGCUCAGUCUCUCCUAUCACUGACAAAGAAGCCGAGACCUCGAAAGUCAUGCCACCCAUGAGCAGUAACUCAUGCAAAGAAUCGCAAUACCAGAACUCCUGACCCACAAGGCUUCCUCUCUGUGCACCCAAGAUGUCCCAAACCGAAAUGGUCUAUGCACGAUGGAGAACUUUGAUCAAACUCGGAAAACGUCUUCGAAAGUGAAACGCAGCACAUUGCAGAGAUGUCACAAAUGAGACUUCCUUUGACGGUCCCUGAGAGCGUCUUUGUGUUCCUUAUAGCUGCUCCCAUUAUUUUGGGCAGACAUUGGCACAGUCUUUGAUGAAACAUUUUUCACCUUGAAUUACAGUAAAUGUUAUCUCAUGUUUUUGGAAAUGCCAUCUAAGGACUUAAGAGAUAUCAUUGCUAGAUAAUUGUUUAUAAUCAUGCCCCUUAUAAUUUCAUUUGAAGAUUAUAUGAGAAAAAUCUAAGCAUACCAAUUUAAUAAAGGAUUUGGACAAAUGCAUCUCAAACUUUAA